rnacentral:rRNA from 1 species
AUUGCCCCAGUUAACGGCGAGUGAAGCGGCAAUAGCUCAGAUUUGAAAUCUGGCCCCGUCGGGGAUCCGAGAUUGUAAUCUGCAGAGAGUGCUUCGGGCGAGACCGCGGUCUAAGUCCCUUGGAACAUGGCCUCAGAGAGGGUGAGAAUCCCGUAUGCGACCGUGGCUCGAGCCCGUGUGAAGCCUCUUCGAAGAGUCGAGUUGUUUGGGAAUGCAGCUCAUAGUGGGUGGUAAAUUUCAUCUAAAGCUAAAUACUGGCUGGAGACCGAUAGCGCACAAGUAGAGUGAUCGAAAGAUGAAAAGCACUUUGGAAAGAGAGUCAAAAAGUACGUGAAAUUGUUGAAAGGGAAGCGCUUGCAACCAGACCUGCCCGUAGGCGAUCAGCCGCUGUUCUCAGCGGUGCACUCGCUCUGCGAUCAGGCCAGCAUCGGUUUCGGCGGUUGGAUAAAGGCCCUGGGAAUGUAGCUCCCCUUCGGGGGAGUCUUAUAGCCCUCGGUGCAAUGCGGCCAGCCSAGACCGAGGACCGCGCUUCGGCUAGGAUGCUGGCGUAAUGGUUGUAAGCGACCCGUCUUGAAACACGGACCAAGGAGUCUAACAUCGAUGCGAGUGUUUGGGUGUAAAACCCAUGCGCGGAAUGAAAGUGAACGGANGUGAGAACCCUGAAGGGCGCAUCAUCGACCGAUCCAGAUGUCUUCGGAUGGAUUUGAGUAUGAGCAUCGCUNUUGGGACCCGAAAGGUAAACCUGCACUUGCUCGAUAUCACAGAAUCUAUGCUAAUAUUUUGACCAGAUGGUGAACUAUGCCUGAAUAGGGUGAAGCCAGAGGAAACUCUGGUGGAGGCUCGCAGCGGUUCUGACGUGCAAAUCGAUCGUCAAU